rnacentral:tRNA from 1 species
UCUCGCUUGGACGAAGCUGGUGCGCCGACAUCGUCAGAGGCGACGAAGACGGCAUCGACUUCUGGUUUCAUCAAGUUGGAUGCUUGAGCGUGUUC